ACAAAGAUCGUAUUUUUUGCUUUUAUAUCUCAUCUAUUUCUAUUUUUCUAUUAUUUGUUGCUGCUUUUUGCGUGUCUGCUCUGUUUUUGCAGGUGUUGAUGAAGCUAGGCACGGUGGGUGGCGAUGGGACAAGGCAAACGGCAGAGGGAUGGGUGCGGCGCUAGGCUUGGCUAGGGUUUCAUUUUUCUGAAACCCUAGUUGGGGUUUUUUUUGGGAAAUUGGGCUCCGAAUUUGGGCCUCAGGUUUGGGUUGUAAUUGGGCUUGUGGGUUGGUGUUAUUUUGCUGGUAGGGCCUGGGCAAAUUUGGGCUUCUACAG
rnacentral:lncRNA from 1 species